rnacentral:rRNA from 1 species
UACGAAGGGGGCUAGCGUUGCUCGGAAUCACUGGGCGUAAAGGGUGCGUAGGCGGGUUUUAAGUCAGGGUGAAAUCCUGGAGCUCAACUCCAGAACUGCCUUUGAUACUGAGGAUCUCGAGUCCGGGAGAGGUGAGUGGAACUGCGAGUGUAGAGGUGAAAUUCGUAGAUAUUCGCAAGAACACCAGUGGCGAAGGCGGACUCACUGGCCCGGUACUGACGCUGAGGUGCGGAAAGCGUGGGAGCAAACAGGGA